UUCGUCACACUAUCAUUAACUGAAUCCAUAGGUUAAUGAGGCGAACCGGGGGAACUGAAACAUCUAAGUACCCCGAGGAAAAGAAAUCAACCGAGAUUCCCCCAGUAGCGGCGAGCGAACGGGGAGGAGCCCAGAGCCUGAAUCAGCAUGUGUGUUAGUGGAAGCGUCUGGAAAGGCGCGCGAUACAGGGUGACAGCCCCGUACACAAAAGCGCAUGUGCUGUGAGCUCGAUGAGUAGGGCGGGACACGUGGUAUCCUGUCUGAAUAUGGGGGGACCAUCCUCCAAGGCUAAAUACUCCUGACUGACCGAUAGUGAACCAGUACCGUGAGGGAAAGGCGAAAAGAACCCCGGCGAGGGGAGUGAAAAAGAACCUGAAACCGU
rnacentral:rRNA from 2 species